AAGACCUUGCGCUUUUGGAGCGGCCGAUGUCUGAUUAGCUUGUUGGUAAGGUAAAAGCUUACCAAGGCUUCGAUCAGUAGCUGGUCUGAGAGGACGACCAGCCACACUGGGACUGAGACACGGCCCAGACUCCUACGGGAGGCAGCAGUGGGGAAUUUUGGACAAUGGGGGCAACCCUGAUCCAGCCAUGCCGCGUGAGUGAAGAAGGCCUUCGGGCUGUAAAGCUCUUUCAGCCGGAACGAAACGGUUACGGAUAAUACCCGUGACUACUGACGGUACCGGAAGAAGAAGCACCGGCUAACUACGUGCCAGCAGCCGCGGUAAUACGUAGGGUGCAAGCGUUAAUCGGAAUUACUGGGCGUAAAGCGUGCGCAGGUGGUUUUGUAAGUCAGAUGUGAAAGCCCCGGGCUCAACCUGGGAACU
rnacentral:rRNA from 1 species